rnacentral:rRNA from 1 species
UACGGAGGGUGCGAGCGUUGUUCGGAAUCACUGGGCGUAAAGGGCGUGUAGGCGGUCUGUUAAGUCUGAUGUGAAAGCCCGGGGCUCACCCCCGGAAGUGCAUUGGAUACUGGCGGACUCGAGUCUCGGAGAGGAGGGUGGAAUUCCUGGUGUAGCGGUGAAAUGCGCAGAUAUCGGGAGGAACACCUAUGGCGAAGGCAGCUCGCUGGGACGUUACUGACGCUGAGACGCGAAAGCGUGGGGAGCAAACAGG